AGUGAACGCUGGCGGUAGGCCUAACACAUGCAAGUCGAACGGCAGCACAGUAAGAGCUUGCUCUUACGGGUGGCGAGUGGCGGACGGGUGAGGAAUACAUCGGAAUCUACUUUUUCGUGGGGGAUAACGUAGGGAAACUUACGCUAAUACCGCAUACGACCUACGGGUGAAAGCAGGGGAUCUUCGGACCUUGCGCGAUUGAAUGAGCCGAUGUCGGAUUAGCUAGUUGGCGGGGUAAAGGCCCACCAAGGCGACGAUCCGUAGCUGGUCUGAGAGGAUGAUCAGACACACUGGAACUGAGACACGGUCCGGACUCCUACGGGAGGCAGCAGUGGGGAAUAUUGGACAAUGGGCGCAAGCCUGAUCCAGCCACACCGCGUGGGUGAAGAAGGCCUUCGGGUUGUAAAGCCCUUUUGUUGGGAAAGAAAAGCAGCAGGUUAAUACCCCGCUGUUCUGACGGUACCCAAAGAAUAAGCACCGGCUAACUUCGUG
rnacentral:rRNA from 1 species